rnacentral:tRNA from 1 species
ACUUUUAUAGUUUAAAAAAAACAACAAUCUUGUAAAUUGUAGCUGUAAUAUUCUAAAAGUU